rnacentral:rRNA from 1 species
UACGUAGGGGGCAAGCGUUGUCCGGAAUCAUUGGGCGUAAAGAGCGUGUAGGCGGCUCGAUAAGUCCGCUCUGAAAGCCCGGGGCUCAACCCCGGGAGGCGGGCGGAAACUGUCGGGCUAGAGUCCGGAAGAGGCGAGUGGAAUUCCCGGUGUAGCGGGGAAAUGCGCAGAUAUCGGGAGGAACACCAAUGGCGAAGGCAGCUCGCUGGGACGUGACUGACGCUGAGACGCGAAAGCGUGGGGAGCAAACAGG